CAGGUUCUCCCAGGAUCCUUCAGUCCCUACCUUCUAAAGGGAUUCCUCCAUGGUAACUUCCAUGGCCUUAUUCCUUGGGAACUGGGAACCCUCUGAGAACUGUUUGCAUAAGCUUGCAAGUAAAUAUUUACCAUGUCUUCAAUUAGCAAAUAUUACCUGUGGGAAGAAAGAAACAGCAUAACAUUAUAUAAUCAUCACUGGUCAAAAUUUGUCACACUGAAUAAAUAUGUGAAUAUGUUUCCAGUUUUUAUUAAUAA